rnacentral:misc_RNA from 1 species
UUUUUUUUUUUUUUUUUGACAAGUGACUUGCUUGUUUCAUUGUUUUAUUGUUUCAUGGCACUUCAACUCAUAUAGAAGAAGACCAAACUUAUAUUAAACACCAUGAACAAUCUUCAAGAUUGGCCUGAACCAAUAGUUCGUGUUCAAUCCUUAUCGGAAAAUUGCCUGGAGGAAAUUCCUGGUCGAUAUAUCAAGCCACCGCUCGAAAGGCCAUCGAUAAACUCAUCAUCAUCAUCUUCUUCUUCUUCUUCCUCUUCCUCUUCUUCUUCUUCUUCUUCUUCUCCAAAUGAUGAUAUCAAUAUCCCUAUUAUUGAUCUUGGAGGCCUAAAUGGAAACGAUGAUAAUCUUCGAGCUUCCAUACUUAGUGAAAUUUCCAUGGCCUGUCGCAACUGGGGAUUCUUCCAAGUUAUCAACCAU